CCUGUGUCAACUAUGGGGCCACCUGGAAGGUACUGGGCCCGGGAGGUGAAAGGAUCUGAAGAUGGAAGUUUCAAAAUCAACAGAUGAAGGCCUAAUGCCCAAAACGUUGACUCUCCUGCUCCUCGGAUGCUGCCUGACCUGCUGUGCUUUUCCAGCGCCGCACUUUCUGACUCUGACUCUCCAGCGUCUGCAGUCCUUACUUUGACGUCCAUGUCUGACAGUCAUUCAAUCCAAUCCAUCGGGACCGCAACAGUUUGCAACUAUGAUUCCGUGAGGAGCAAAGCUGUUUGGUUCCUGUUUGGGUAUGUUUUCAGCAUCAGUGGGACUGGAUGAGAGACCCUACCAUUGCAGUGCACUGAGUGAGGAGCGUGUAACAGCUAUACGGUUUGGAAAGAGGAAUUCACGGUGGAGAGAAGCUCCACAUGCGUUUGUGCGGCUGAAGCUUCGGCCAUGGAGAAACCCGAGGAAUCCCGCCCCGUAGAGAAACCACGGAAGUGUGGUGACUGUUCGAAAGGCUUGUUUCCCGUCUGCCCUGGAGACUCAUUGGCGCAGUCACACUGGGGAGAGGCCGUUCCCCUGCCCUGACUGCAGGAAGGACUUCAGCGAUUCCUCCAACCUCCAGACCCACCAGUGGAUCCACAUGGGGGAGAGGCCCUUAAGCUGCCCCGAGUGCGGGAAGGCCGUUACCCAGGCUGCCUCCUUGCUGACCAACCAGCGGGAUCACGUGGCAUUGCAGGAGGAUUGAAAGAAAGACGGCCGAGUGCCUUUACCAACUGGACUAUCAACCCAGUUCCAGUGGCUCCCGAGUUCGAUUCCCACAACAGAUGGCGGAAUUGGAAUUUGGUCAGAAAUCUGGAGUUCAGAAUCUAACGGUGAAACUAUUGUCGGUGG